rnacentral:misc_RNA from 1 species
AUAUAUAUCAAUCCCCUCUUUUUGAGUGGUUUGGAUGUGGGGGUUUUGCUGGCCCUAGGGUUUCAGCUCCUCUGAAAUGCAUUAGCAGAACGACCCGUUCAUUGGCGUGAUAACUAUCUGCGCUAUUGAAUGUAAGGGGCAGUUCAGCUUUCUAACAGUCUUCGGACAAUUUAUCAUUA